UACGAAGGGGGCUAGCGUUGCUCGGAAUCACUGGGCGUAAAGGGUGCGUAGGCGGGUUUUAAGUCAGAGGUGAAAUCCUGGAGCUCAACUCCAGAACUGCCUUUGAUACUGAAAGUCUUGAGUAUGGGAGAGGUGAGUGGAACUGCGAGUGUAGAGGUGAAAUUCGUAGAUAUUCGCAAGAACACCAGUGGCGAAGGCGGCUCACUGGCCCAUAACUGACGCUGAGGCACGAAAGCGUGGGGAGCAAACAGG
rnacentral:rRNA from 1 species